GACGGUUCGAGUAAGUGAUAUUUCGGAACAGUAUCUAGUUCCUUCAAUACCAAUAUGUUCUAGUAAUAUGAAUUUUUUUUCUCUGUGUUGGUGUUGUGUACUCAGGUGAAUAAUAUGUUUGCGAUGUUACUCUGAGUGCAUAUCCACACCGGGCGAGCUUGAAAAAUAUGGCCGGCCACGGUGGGAUUCGAACCUACGACCUUUGGAAUACUAGCCCAAUGCUCUUCCAACUGAGCUACGCGGUCAGGACGGUUCGAGUAAGUGAUAUUUCGGAACAGAAUCUAGUUCCUUCGAUACCAAUGUUUUCUAGUAAUAUGAAUUUUUCCUGUGUUGGUGUAGUGUACUCAGG